GACGAACGCUGGCGGCGUGCUUAACACAUGCAAGUCGAACGACGAAGCCGGAGCUUGCUCCGGUGGAUUAGUGGCGAACGGGUGAGUAACACGUGAGCAAUCUGCCCUUGACUCUGGGAUAACUGAGGGAAGCUGUAGCUAAGACCGGAUACGAAACCUCGUGGCAUACCAGGCGGUGGAAAUAAGUUCGGUCAAUGAUCAGCUCGCGGCCUAUCAGCGAGGUGGUGAGGUAAUGGCUCACCAAGGCGACGACGGGUAGCCGGCAUGAGAGGGUGGACGGCCACACUGGAACUGAGACACGGUCCAGACUCCUACGGGAGGCAGCAGUGGGGAAUAUUGCACAAUGGGCGAAAGCCUGAUGCAGCAACGCCGCGUGAGGGAUGAAGGCCUUCGGGUUGUAAACCUCUUUUAGCAGGAAAGAAGCGAAAGUGACGGUACCUGCAGAAAAAGCACCGGCUAACUACGUGCCAGCCGCCGCGGUAA
rnacentral:rRNA from 1 species